rnacentral:rRNA from 1 species
AUUGAACGCUGGCGGCAGGCCUAACACAUGCAAGUCGAGCGGUAGCACAGAGAGCUUGCUCUCGGGUGACGAGCGGCGGACGGGUGAGUAAUGUCUGGGAAACUGCCUGAUGGAGGGGGAUAACUACUGGAAACGGUAGCUAAUACCGCAUAACGUCGCAAGACCAAAGUGGGGGACCUUCGGGCCUCAUGCCAUCAGAUGUGCCCAGAUGGGAUUAGCUAGUAGGUGGGGUAACGGCUCACCUAGGCGACGAUCCCUAGCUGGUCUGAGAGGAUGACCAGCCACACUGGAACUGAGACACGGUCCAGACUCCUACGGGAGGCAGCAGUGGGGAAUAUUGCACAAUGGGCGCAAGCCUGAUGCAGCCAUGCCGCGUGUGUGAAGAAGGCCUUCGGGUUGUAAAGCACUUUCAGCGGGGAGGAAGGCGUUAAGGUUAAUAACCUUGGCGAUUGACGUUACCCGCAGAAGAAGCACCGGCUAACUCCGUGCCAGCAGCCGCGGUAAUACGGAGGGUGCAAGCGUUAAUCGGAAUUACUGGGCGUAAAGCGCACGCAGGCGGUCUGUCAAGUCGGAUGUGAAAUCCCCGGGCUCAACCUGGGAACUGCAUUCGAAACUGGCAGGCUAGAGUCUUGUAGAGGGGGGUAGAAUUCCAGGUGUAGCGGUGAAAUGCGUAGAGAUCUGGAGGAAUACCGGUGGCGAAGGCGGCCCCCUGGACAAAGACUGACGCUCAGGUGCGAAAGCGUGGGGAGCAAACAGGAUUAGAUACCCUGGUAGUCCACGCCGUAAACGAUGUCGAUUUGGAGGUUGUGCCCUUGAGGCGUGGCUUCCGGAGCUAACGCGUUAAAUCGACCGCCUGGGGAGUACGGCCGCAAGGUUAAAACUCAAAUGAAUUGACGGGGGCCCGCACAAGCGGUGGAGCAUGUGGUUUAAUUCGAUGCAACGCGAAGAACCUUACCUGGUCUUGACAUCCACAGAACUUUCCAGAGAUGGAUUGGUGCCUUCGGGAACUGUGAGACAGGUGCUGCAUGGCUGUCGUCAGCUCGUGUUGUGAAAUGUUGGGUUAAGUCCCGCAACGAGCGCAACCCUUAUCCUUUGUUGCCAGCGGUUAGGCCGGGAACUCAAAGGAGACUGCCAGUGAUAAACUGGAGGAAGGUGGGGAUGACGUCAAGUCAUCAUGGCCCUUACGACCAGGGCUACACACGUGCUACAAUGGCAUAUACAAAGAGAAGCGACCUCGCGAGAGCAAGCGGACCUCAUAAAGUAUGUCGUAGUCCGGAUUGGAGUCUGCAACUCGACUCCAUGAAGUCGGAAUCGCUAGUAAUCGUAGAUCAGAAUGCUACGGUGAAUACGUUCCCGGGCCUUGUACACACCGCCCGUCACACCAUGGGAGUGGGUUGCAAAAGAAGUAGGUAGCUUAACCUUCGGGAGGGCGCUUACCACUUUGUGAUUCAUGACUGGGGUGA